UCCGGCUUAUCACCGGCAGUUUCUUUAGAGUGCCCAACUAAAUGAUGGCAACUAAAGACGAGGGUUGCGCUCGUUGCGGGACUUAACCCAACAUCUCACGACACGAGCUGACGACAGCCAUGCAGCACCUAGUUUCUGGCCAUUGCUGGCUGACAUGUUUCCACAUCAUUCCAUAACUUUCAAGCCCAGGUAAGGUUCCUCGCGUAUCAUCGAAUUAAACCACAUGCUCCUCCGCUUGUGCGGGCCCCCGUCAAUUCCUUUGAGUUUCAACCUUGCGGUCGUACUUUCCAGGUGGAUCACUUAAUGCUUUCGCUCAGACGCGUACAGUGUAUCGCACACAUCGAGUAAUCAUCGUUUAGGGCGUGGACUAC
rnacentral:misc_RNA from 1 species